AAAGUCGUAACAAGGUUUCCGUAGGUGAACCUGCGGAAGGAUCAUUACUGAGUUCAUGCCCUAACGGGUAGAUCUCCACCCUUGAAUAUAAACUCUUGUUGCUUUGGCGGGCCGCUUAGGCUACUGGCUUCGGCUAGUGAGUGCCCGCCAGAGAACCCCAAACUUUGAAUUACAGUAUUGUCUGAGUACUAUAUAAUAGUUAAAACUUUCAACAACGGAUCUCUUGGUUCUG
rnacentral:misc_RNA from 1 species